rnacentral:rRNA from 1 species
AACGAACGCUGGCGGCAUGCCUAACACAUGCAAGUCGAACGAGACCUUCGGGUCUAGUGGCGCACGGGUGCGUAACGCGUGGGAACCUGCCCUUAGGUUCGGAAUAACUCCCCGAAAGGGGUGCUAAUACCGGAUAAUGUCUUCGGACCAAAGAUUUAUCGCCUUUGGAUGGGCCCGCGUUGGAUUAGCUAGUUGGUAGGGUAAAAGCCUACCAAGGCGACGAUCCAUAGCUGGUCUGAGAGGAUGAUCAGCCACACUGGGACUGAGACACGGCCCAGACUCCUACGGGAGGCAGCAGUGGGGAAUAUUGGACAAUGGGCGAAAGCCUGAUCCAGCAAUGCCGCGUGAGUGAUGAAGGCCUUAGGGUUGUAAAGCUCUUUUACCCGGGAUGAUAAUGACAGUACCGGGAGAAUAUGCUCCGGCUAACUCCGUG